GAUGAACGCUGGCGGCGUGCCUAACACAUGCAAGUCGAGCGAAGCACUCUACUCGAUUUCUUCGGGAUGAAGGUUUAGUGACUGAGCGGCGACGGGUGAAGUAACGCGUGGUAACCUGCCUCAUACAGGGGGAUAACAGUUAGAAACGACUGCUAAUACCGCAUAAGCCCACGACCCGGCAUCGGGUUGAGGGAAAAGGAGCAAUCCGCUUUGAGAUGGCCUCGCGUCCGAUUAGCUAGUUGGUGAGGUAACGGCCCACCAAGGCAACGAUCGGUAGCCGGACUGAGAGGUUGAACGGCCACAUUGGGACUGAGACACGGCCCAG
rnacentral:rRNA from 1 species